rnacentral:rRNA from 1 species
AUGGUGGCUGCUGUGGCGCUACCCCCACCUCGACUAGGGCAGCCUGCACCACCUGCAGCAGCGGAAGAUAGGAGGGGACUGGAAGCGGCUCGAGUGGCUGAUUGCCGCCCUGACCCAGGACGCGGCGAUGAACGAGUGGCAGCACUACGCAACUACCGCCGGGCCCGGGGACUUUGUUUCAAAUGUGGGGAACGUUGGGGUCAAGGCCACCAGUGUGCAGCCACAGUCCAAUUGCAUGUAGUGGAAGAACUGCUCGAGUUACUGCAAGCUGAAGUUCAGGACAUACAAGAUGCAGAACCCGACUCGGACGAAGAGGUGCUAAUGUCAAUCUCCAAAAUAGCUACUACAGGACUGACCACAGCAUGCACGGUGCGUUUGCUCGGCAGGAUAGAUGGGCAGGCAGUCCUAAUCCUUGUUGACUCGGGUAGCUCGCACAGCUUCAUCUGUGAAGAAGUGGCAGCUAAUUUGGCAGAUCGAUACAUCCCCGUCUGUACGUGGGUGACACAAGGACACGAGUUUACCACGGAUCAGUCUAUGGCGGUCACAAACUACGUGGCCAACGGCGGGUGCCUCGCGGAGUUCCGGGCGGCCAUGAUCAAGUGCGACCCCAUCUGGGAUCACGAUGCCGCCAAGCGCCGCGUCGCGUGCAUCGGCGCCACCAAGGCGCUGCGAGAGUGCUUCGGCCGCAACCCCGACUACUUCGAGCACCACUACAUCAAGCGCCUGGACAGCGGCCUCGACCAGGACGUUGGCUGGCAGGAGGACGCCGGCAAGUUCAGGUGGUGGACCGGCGUGAGGAGAAGCUAG